AUUGAACGCUGGCGGCAUGCCUUACACAUGCAAGUCGAACGGUAACAGGUUAAGCUGACGAGUGGCGAACGGGUGAGUAAUGUAUCGGAACGUGCCCAGUCGUGGGGGAUAACUGCUCGAAAGAGCAGCUAAUACCGCAUACGACCUGAGGGUGAAAGCGGGGGCUCGCAAGACCUCGCGCGAUUGGAGCGGCCGAUAUCAGAUUAGGUAGUUGGUGAGGUAAAGGCUCACCAAGCCGACGAUCUGUAGCUGGUCUGAGAGGACGACCAGCCACACUGGGACUGAGACACGGCCCAGACUCCUACGGGAGGCAGCAGUGGGGAAUUUUGGACAAUGGGCGCAAGCCUGAUCCAGCCAUGCCGCGUGCGGGAAGAAGGCCUUCGGGUUGUAAACCGCUUUUGUCAGGGAAGAAAAGGUUCUGGCUAAUACCUGGGACUCAUGACGGUACCUGAAGAAUAAGCACCGGCUAACUACGUG
rnacentral:rRNA from 1 species